AUAGGUGGGCCAGUGGUAGGA
rnacentral:miRNA from 2 species